GACGAACGCUGGCGGCGUGCUUAACACAUGCAAGUCGAACGGAGAGCGAUGGAAGCUUGCUUCUAUCAAUCUUAGUGGCGAACGGGUGAGUAACGCGUAAUCAACCUGCCCUUCAGAGGGGGACAACAGUUGGAAACGACUGCUAAUACCGCAUACGAUCUAAUCUCGGCAUCGAGGAUAGAUGAAAGGUGGCCUCUACAUGUAAGCUAUCACUGAAGGAGGGGAUUGCGUCUGAUUAGCUAGUUGGAGGGGUAACGGCCCACCAAGGCGAUGAUCAGUAGCCGGUCUGAGAGGAUGAACGGCCACAUUGGGACUGAGACACGGCCCAGACUCCUACGGGAGGCAGCAGUGGGGAAUCUUCCGCAAUGGACGAAAGUCUGACGGAGCAACGCCGCGUGAGUGAUGACGGCCUUCGGGUUGUAAAGCUCUGUUAAUCGGGACGAAAGGCCUCCUUGCGAAUAGUGAGAAGGAUUGACGGUACCGGAAUAGAAAGCCACGGCUAACUACGUG
rnacentral:rRNA from 1 species